GAUGAACGCUGGCGGCGUGCUUAAGACAUGCAAGUCGAACGGAGUGUGUAGCAAUACUCACUAAGUGGCGAAUGGGUGAGUAACACGUAGGUGACCUGCCCUGAAGUGCGGAAUAACAGUCCGAAAGGAUUGCUAAUACCGCAUGUGGUCCCGGGCGUUAGAGAACCGGGUCGUAAAGACAGUAAUGCGCUUCAGGAGGGGCCUGCGGUCCAUCAGCUAGUUGGAGGGUUAAAGGACCGUACCAAGGCUUCGAUCGGUAGCUGGUCUGAGAGGAUGAUCAGCCACACUGGGACUGAGACACGGCCCAGACUCCUAC
rnacentral:rRNA from 1 species